UUAAGUUCAGCGGGUAUCCCUACCUGAUCCGAGGUCAAACUAUAGAGGGCUUGCUGGACGCUGAUCCGCCAUGGCUCCGAGAAGCGCAAAUGUGCUACGCUAGAAGCUGGCACGACCGCUGCCAAUAGCUUUGGGGCGAGUCCACACGCUGAGGCGGGACAGACGCCCAACACAAGCAGAGCUUGAGGGGGAUGAUGACG
rnacentral:misc_RNA from 1 species